rnacentral:lncRNA from 1 species
UUAAAUCUGUUAGUCUCUUGUAUUAAGCAUGUCGAUCAGUAAUACAUUAAUUGAAUUAUGAUCACUGAAAUUGAAGAUAUCGGAAGUAAACAUAAUGUGGGAGGUCAAUUGUUUUAGAAUAUUUAGCAACUUUACCAAAAAAUGCAAAUGCAAAGGAACAUGCAUGAACUGCAUACAUGAAAAUGUAAAAAAUAUUACGUUACUUGAAUUUUGUCACCUUGGGCGAGAGUACCAAAAUGGGAUUCAGAUAUGAAAUUAAACAAAUACUUAAUUUCAAUUGUUCGUUUGUUCAUUUUAUC